GCUCGAGUGACGAACGGGUGAGUAACACGUGAGUAACCUGCCCUUGACUUUGGGAUAACUUCAGGAAACUGGGGCUAAUACCGGAUAGGAGCUCCUGCUGCAUGGUGGGGGUUGGAAAGUUUCGGCGGUUGGGGAUGGACUCGCGGCUUAUCAGCUUGUUGGUGGGGUAGUGGCUUACCAAGGCUUUGACGGGUAGCCGGCCUGAGAGGGUGACCGGCCACAUUGGGACUGAGAUACGGCCCAG
rnacentral:rRNA from 1 species